UGGGGAAUAUUGCGCAAUGGGCGAAAGCCUGACGCAGCAACGCCGCGUGGGUGAUGAAGGCCUUCGGGUCGUAAAGCCCUGUCAGGUGGGAAGAACCCGGCUUUCGGGCCGCUGACGGUACCACCGAAGGAAGCACCGGCUAACUCCGUGCCAGCAGCCGCGGUAAUACGGAGGGUGCAAGCGUUGUUCGGAAUUACUGGGCGUAAAGGGCGCGUAGGCGGCCGGGCAAGUCCGGUGUGAAAGCCCGGGGCUCAACCCCGGAAGUGCAUUGGAUACUGCCUGGCUUGAGUUCGGAAGAGGAGGGCAGAAUUCCCGGUGUAGGGGUGAAAUCCGUAGAUAUCGGGAGGAAGACCAGUGGCGAAGGCGGCCCUCUGGGACGAAACUGACGCUGAGGCGCGAAAGCGUGGGGAGCAAACAGGAUUAGAGACCCUGGUAGUCCACGCUGUAAACGAUGAUUACUCGAUGUUGGCGAUAUACAGUCAGCGUCUAAGCGAAAGCAUUAAGUAAUCCACCUGGGGAGUACGGCCGCAAGGUUG
rnacentral:rRNA from 1 species